rnacentral:lncRNA from 1 species
GGGGACCAUGUAAGAAGUUUGAUAAUGAAUAGUGAUUAGUGUAUUCCAGCAGACCCUGUACUCCUUUAGGGUUAGAUAAGACCCUUCUACUCUAGAUCAGGGUGCUGCCUAACUUGUUGGGGUUCGAAUCCACUAUAUCAAACGACUCACUUAUGUCAAAUAUUAUAGCUUGUCUGUAUACAUUUGUGCUUUGAAUGGAUAGAUGGCUUUUGAUAGAUUUAAUGGUUGGGAUUAAACAUGCUUUGAAAUAAUGCAUAAGAGGCUUGUUUUGCCACUUAACUAAAAAUUUAGCAGAUUUGGUUGUGAUGUUAGCUGGAAGGACAUUUGACCCGACAGAAGGAGCCAGCUGGCUGGAGCUGCAGUAUAGUUUGUGGCUUAUAUGUUUGUGACUAUUGCUGCAACUGUUCAAAGAAAGAUUAAUGUUUUUAUUUUGCUAUGGGUUUAUUUUUUCAUGAUCACAGUUUUUUUUUUUAUUUAGAGUAGUAAAAGACUCCAGGUUACAUUGUCACUGGAGUCCAAGUCUAUUGAUUUCAAUGUCAAUAAAAUCCAUCCACAGUCCUGUCCUUCUCUUAUCUGCAGAUCUCAGUUUGAGUGCCUGUUUGUCACUUGUGUUGUGUGCUGAGAACCUCUCUGAGGAAAAUAACUAGAUCACUCAAAAUUUUCAGCUUGUGAGCUAACAUGUUUGUCAUUAAGAUUACCUCUCUAGGUGCUUUAUGUUCACCCUUUUUGGGGACUAUUGGAUUGGAUGUUAAAGGCACAAGUUCAGUUAAAGGGAUAUUCCGGUGUAAAAUUAAGCUAGGGUCAAACACAAGGUAACACUGAGUUAGACACCCCAUCGAGAGAUGAAUGUUGCCGACUGAUUGCUUCUCUAGUUAUACCAACUUUAGUAACGACCGCACAAUAGCAAUACACAGUGGUCUCAGGAGUUACGCGCAAACCUCAACCAAAAAGCCACUCUUUAGCCACAAAUAAUGCUCAGAACAGCACCUAACUUCAUCAACAGUACAUAUAGGGUCCCAGCCAUAGUACUAGCCACCAAACAUCUUUUUAGCCUCGCCUCAUUUCUUAAGCAAAAAGACUAAACAGCUCACCUACUCUCCUUCAGCAGCCGCUUGUUUGUAGGGAGACCUCAGGUGAGUCCAUCUACUGCUGCGGGGUGACACAGCUCAAGGAAGAACAUUUAUAAUCAUUACUUCAUGGAAAUGCAUUCAGACCGAGACGCUAAGGCAGAAGAACUACAGCGUCUGCAGUGCAAAAUGAUUAUUAUGGUGAUUAUUACUUUAAGGAAAUGAUAAAGAAAUGAUCAUAAAUGUUCUUCCUUGAGCUGCAUCCCCCCCGCUGCAGUUGGUGAUGGACUCGUCCGAGCUCUCCCUACAAACAAGCGGCUGCUGGAAGAGAGUAGAUGAGUUGUGUUUUAUCUCUUUGCUAAAGAAAUCAGGCAAAGCUAAAAAGAUGUUUGGUGGCUAGUGCUAUGGCUAGGACUCUGUAUAUACUGUUGAUGAAGUUAGGUGCUGUUCUGAGCAUUAUUUGUGGCUAUAGAGUGGCAUUUUGGUUGACGUUUGCAUGUGGCUCCUGAGACCGCUGUGUAUUGCUAUCGUGCGGUCGUUACUAAAAUUGGUAUAACCAGAAAAGCAAGCAGUGGGCAACAAUCAUCUCUUGACGGGGUGUCUAACUCGGUGCUACCUUGGGCUCUAUUUUGGUGCCUCGCCGGAGACGUGCCGCAAGCGCAGCGUCAAUCAGAUCCGCCGCGCUGACAAGGCGUUCCCAAGCACAUUUUGGUAUUUUGGUGAGCCGCGCAGCCCGGCGUAAGUAUCCCCCCUCCCUAACUCAGCUCCUCCCGGCAGCAUAAAUCAUAGACGGGGAGGAGAGAGGGCGUAUACUGUGUUUAACACAGCCGAGACCUGUUUUCACCAAUCACAUAAGCUCCUCUCCUUGCCUUUAAAUCCGCUACCGGCGAGGCGUAUUACUAUUUUCAUGAAGUAGUCAAAGAGAUCAAGAGAUGUCUGAAGACAGUUAUGCCACACGAUGGCGACAGAGGGCAGCUGCUCAACAAGUGUCCUCCACACUCUCUCAUCUGAGCACAGAUGGAUUUGGUGUGUGUAAUGUUGGACCCACUGGUAAGACAAACACCCUUUUCCACAAAUAAAGACACUCACAUAAAGUUGCAUAUAUUUAAACCACACGUGACAAAGGUGGGUUUAGCGCACAGAUCACAACAUAAACUCCAAAAAUGGCAUUAAAAUCGGAACCAUCUGUGCGUAAAUGACGCAUCGCGCUCCGUGGCCUGGCUCUUUCUUUCAUAGAUGUUGGCAUAUAAAAUAGAUUUGGCCCACAAAACUGAAUAUUAUAAUAUCCGUAUGUCGGCUUAAAGUAGAUAACGCAUCUGAGCACUGAAACAAAUCAUCUGUUCAGCUGCAGCAGCAGCAAGACGGACAGAGGACACGGAGACGUGUCCAGGUCGAGCUGUGCGAGAAAUAAGAGGAAGAAAGAAAAGGAGGGAGACACAUUACGUAUCUUGUUAACUUCAUCAUGUGUGUUUAUUUACUAGAUAUUUAAUUUAAUUUGAUGCAGUUUCAGCUGUAUUGAUUCGGUCAGGUUGUGUGCCCAAACGCGUGCCAAACGCGCUCAUCAAAUCAGAUAUAGAUCAGAAUAUAUCGAUAUAGAUCUAAAUGUAUGUGCUGACUCAGAUUAAUAGUUGUUGAUGAUUAUUUAUUGCACUGAAAUCUGCCUGACACUGUGGAAACUGCCGGUGAAUCAUCAGUGACGUAUGUUGAUACGCCGCCGGUCUACCAAAAUACUACUAGACCAGCUGCGUUCCGCCUUGCGCUGAAAGCUGACCAGGUUUGAAUCGGCGAGCUUUCAGCGCACGUUACACGUCGGUGGCGAGCACGAAAAUGUCACUGCGCUAGCUGAUUCUGUCAACACCUCCCCCUGCCACGCCACCACGCCCAGCUUGGCAGAUCUCGGCUCGCCUCCGUGCGACUCAGUCCACGAAAAUACCAAACUCGCCUUACGCCGGGCUCCGCCAGACGAAAAUACAACUGCGCGGGGCUCGCCGCCCUCCGCCGCCUCACCGGCGCGAACGAAAAUAGAGCCCCUUGUGUUUGACCCUAAGUUAAUUUUACACUGGAAUAUCCCUUUAAUGUCCAAGGAUGUCCUGUAAUGAACCGUUUUAUUUGGUGAUAGAAUUGAGCUUUUUUAUUAUGUCAAAAGAUACAUAUUUUUGCUUUGGCUUAGUCAAGCAGACAUGGACAGAAAUAUUUAGUCAGCUGCCUUAGGUGUGUUGUACUUUUCUUUUGUUAUGCUGUCAAGUUACAUGCCUAUCAUAUGCAAGAGAAUCUCAUUUUCUGUGCUCCACUGCAUAUUCAGACCAAAAAAAGAAGAUGUCAUGCAGCUUUUUGCAUUACAUUGGCAAGAAAUGUCAGAUCUGUGUAGCACAUGACGUGUGACAAAAAUCUGAAUCAGGAGGCUUCCAGCUUCAGUAUGAAUGUGCCCUUGUAUUUCCAUCUGUCUACCCUGGCUCUCUUUCUAUCUGGCUGUUUUCGCCCGUGUCUGUCACCUUUCUAUCAUUUUCACAAUGUCUCUGUCUCCCUCAGCUGCUCUCCUUCACUGUCCUGUUUGAAUCAAUUUCCUCUCUCCGUCUGCUCUCUCUACCUCCUCUCUUUACUCCUCGUCUUCUCUCUUAACACCAUCUUUUUGUCCCUUCAGAACCUGACUCUCCUCCUCCCAAUCCCGGCUGGAUUAACAUACAUUACACAUUUCACAGUGGCUUUGUAAUAAAAGACUGUAUUCAGCUUGUUUCUCCAAGAGCAGUAACCAGUAUGCACAUCUCCCCCAAGGUCAGGACAGACCUGAAUAGCCCACCUUAAUUCAUUUUGGGGGUGUGCCAGUACUUUGGCACGCCGUCUUUGCAGCGCCUAGUGGCCCAGGUGUUGCUUUUAGAUUACACUGUGUGCUCACACAGGCAAGAAGAAGGUCUGUAAUCAUGUUAGCCGAAUAAAGAGACACAGCUCCUCACCCUCUUCAUAAAAUUACAGCCAUUGUCGACACUCAGGACCAUUUAUCCCUGAGGCUCUGUGAUGAGCAACAUGGAGCCGUGUCGGACUGUCUGCCUGUGAGUGUAUGAAGGUGUGGUGACUGUAAGUGAUGUUGGAAAUGACAGGACGUAAGAGCACGGAAAAGGUGGGGGCUGCUAUUUCAGUCUCUAUCACAUCAAGGUAGAGAUUUGUCACCAGAGUCCAUGUCAUAACACUCUCAGAGACCUGUCUUUAACCCUCAAAGUCUCCCUGGAGACAUCUACCAUACACCAAAACAUCUACCAUUAGCUCCAAAUUUAGUUAAGAUCCCCUAAAUCCCCCAUCGCUGAUCCAUCUGUCUGUAUUAUUCAAUUGCCACAAUGAUACACACACAUGUAAAUUGUGAAUUUACACUCCUUGUCUGGGAAAUCACACAUAAACUGGAGAAGUGCCAUUUCACAUCCUGACCUCACCCCACCCACGGUUUCAAAAUAAUUAAUAGUGUUGUGGGAAGGCCGGGCUCACAUCAUUAACUAUCAUUGCAAUGUUUCAGUGGGUAAAAAUCAAUGAGAAAUGCCUCAUAAAAUCUGAUCAGAGCACAGUAUCAUGUGGAAAUAAAAUUUAUCUCUCUGUCUCAAAUGGGAGAGUGAGAGAUGAGAACUAUUGACGUUAGCCGCCAGCUUGUUCUUGCAAAUCAAAAAAAAGUUGAAUUUUAAUUGCAAAGGGUAUACGAAUUAUCUAACCUACAUGUGGGAGGCACGCCAGAUCCAAUAAGACAAAUGAUACAGAGGAGAGACAACUCCACCUCAAACUUCAGGAACAAUUCGUCAUACACCAAAGCA